AUUGAACGCUGGCGGCAGGCCUAACACAUGCAAGUCGAGCGGAUGAAGGGAGCUUGCUCCUGGAUUCAGCGGCGGACGGGUGAGUAAUGCCUAGGAAUCUGCCUGGUAGUGGGGGAUAGCGUCCGGAAACGGGCGCUAAUACCGCAUACGUCCUGAGGGAGAAAGUGGGGGAUCUUCGGACCUCACGCUAUCAGAUGAGCCUAGGUCGGAUUAGCUAGUUGGUGGGGUAAAGGCCUACCAAGGCGACGAUCCGUAACUGGUCUGAGAGGAUGAUCAGUCACGCUGGAACUGAGACACGGUCCAGACUCCUACGGGAGGCAGCAGUGGGGAAUAUUGGACAAUGGGCGAAAGCCUGAUCCAGCCAUGCCGCGUGUGUGAAGAAGGUCUUCGGAUUGUAAAGCACUUUAAGUUGGGAGGAAGGGCAGUAAGUUAAUACCUUGCUGUUUUGACGUUACCAACAGAAUAAGCACCGGCUAACUUCGUG
rnacentral:rRNA from 1 species